GUGCUCGCUUCGGCAGCACAUAUACUAAAAUUGGAACGAUACAGAGAAGAUUAGCAUGGCCCCUCGCAAGGAUGUUACCCGUCAUAUCCACGUGGCCUCUCCCAUU
rnacentral:snRNA from 1 species